CCGGAGAUAGCACAGUACGCUGUGUCCAGCCCAGAGGUGAAAGCCAUCCAAAGCAGAGUAACUGUGCUAUUGUGCCCAAGUUGAUACCUGUGGAGAGAAAAGGAGAGAGAGUGAAUAACACGAGGAGGAAUAGAGCGAACCCUGUACUUACAGUACGCUGUGUCCAGCCCAGAGGUGAGAGCCAUUCAAAGCAAACUAACUGUGCUAUUGUGCCCAAGUUGAUACCUGUGGAGAGAAAAAGGAGAGAGUGGGUAACACGAGGAGAGACCGAGGAAACCUGUACUUACGCCGCUGCCUGUGGAGAAAGAGAAAGCGACCGUUGCCUGUGGAGAAAGAGAAAGAGACCGUUGCCUGUGGAGGAAGAGAAAGAGAGUGAGCACCCCGAGAACGAACUGUGUGAACCAGUACUUACCGUGAGCUGUAUUCAGCGAAGAGGAGGAAGAAGGAGGGCGCUACGGAUACCUAAGACUCAGGCCGGGGCCCGAGUCCCACGCCCCGGAUCCCCGUGGCCCCCUUGCUCCCUGACCUCUUCCCGGCCAUAGCCCAUCUGGAGGGCCGAGUCAGAGUUUAGUUUUAAUUGCCCUUUUCCUAUUCCCCAAGCUAUUUUUAAAUAUUUAAAUAAAGAUUGUUUUAUCACUUACUUGUUCUCG
ensembl:lncRNA